UCCCAUGUGGUCUAGUGGUUAGGAUACCUGGUUCUCCCCCAGGUGGCCAGGGUUCGAUUCCCGGUGUGGGAA
rnacentral:tRNA from 1 species